UCCACACCACAGCUCCGCUCCCCGAACAAACCAAAUGGCGGCUGUUGGCAGCAUAUUGACAGCUUGUUAAUGAAGGGAUCCUUGACAGUGUGACAACCUGCCUGGGCUGCUGCAGGAAGCCAAGUCCGCCCCCACACCAGCCCCAAGUAAUUAACAGGUGGGGGGAAAUAGCAAGGAGCUGCCACGGAGGAGAAGAGAGAUACUCAACCAAAUGAAUUAUGUAGGUUAAAAAAAAAAAAAGAUUUUGAUUCUGCAAUAUUUUUCUCCGUUCUUGCCAGCAAGCUCCCCUGGAAAGUGUUGACUUGGGAGCCAGAUGAGCGUGGGUUUGCCUCUCAGUAUGGUGGCCUUCUCCUUCUGUGGCUUUGGAAGCAUUUGCUUCCUGGACUUUAGUUUGUGGUUCAACUUGCUUUCAGGAAACCCGGGAUUUAGAAAGUACACCAUGGACAGUCAUUUGGAGAUGCAACAUGACCAGCAGCCUCAAACUGCCGAACUCAAGUCGCCACGCCGACUUCCUUGGACUUCCCAGCCAUGAUGGACUGUACCUCAGAGCUAUGAGUUGAAAUAUAAUGUUCUCCCCUGAGAUGCUUUUGUUAGGUGUCUAGCCCAGCAAUGGGGAAGCUAAAUACAACUACCAGCUCUGUGGUACCUUGCUACAGACAUAAAUCUUUAUUAGCUUGGCUAUAGUAAUAAGGGAUUAUUAUGCUACACUGCCACCUGUCUAUCCCAGGCAACUGUGAGUUUUCCUAGGGCAGGAACUGCUUCUUGCCUUUCUAAACUCUGCACUUCUGGGUUUGAUUCAAUCUUAGAAAUGAGUAUGCUCUGUAAAUGCUGAGACUAUAUUUCUAAUUUAUUCUCUUAACUGUUCCUGUGGAGUUGAGAUUUUAUCAAUCAAAAGGGAAUGAGAGAAACAGAGGAGGACUUAGAAGAAGUAUCCAGUGCCCGCAUUUUAAGAAUUAAUGCUCUGAAGUUUUGCUCUUUUAUUCAUCUAUUAUGUGUCUCAGAGAGCCAGGAGAGGGUGAAUGUAUAAUUUAGAUUGGAGACCAUGGAAUUGCUCUCAUUUUUCUUCAGCCAUCAAUUAGCAUCUCCCAGGUGCCUUCUCUGCACAGCGCAGGGCUCUCUUGGACUCCAUAUUUCAGCACCUUGACUGAUGCACAACUUAUUCCUGUCCUCACAUCUGCUCCUAGUGAGGUAGGACUGUGUCUGUAGUGCUCAGUGGACAUUCAUGUCAGGACAAGAACAAUCAGCUUUACAACCAUAUGUAAACUGUACAUGCACAACAAGAAAGGGCGGAUCAUUUUAAGAUGUGUGCUUGAUAGAAGAGGAGUUUUCUAGAACUUUGUCAACAUUUCAUUUAUGUAUCAUGUAUCCAUAUGCUACACAGAGUCAGUCCAGUGGUAGCCAGGAUGUGACUAAAGAGGAAGACAGAGAGGAAAGAGACUAUAAGUGAAAAUAACAGCCAGAGGAAUAUCACAGACAUUUUCAGGGCCAGUCGUGGAAUGAAGAAGGAUGUCACUAUGAUGGGUAGAAAUGAUAUCUCUCGUAUCCUUUGGUUAUUGUGUUGUAAUAAAGAAAAUGGACCUCAUGAUAAGUCAUCUCAGUCUAUGGGGGAAACAGACAUAUAACAUAAACAGGCCAGUGUUAAAAAAAACCAAACAAACCAGAAUUGAGUUAUUAAGGACAACAGAGGUGUAGCCCUGGCAGCCAGAUGAUUCAUGCAGGAGUAUGCUCUGCUGUGGAUAGAGGUUGACGGUGAUGGCUCCUUAUUUCCUUAUAAGAAUUCCAGAUUUCCAUAAAGUGAAGGAACUAGAAUAGAGCAGAAGAAGACAAAGGCAUUUACAUCAAUUUGAAAUUCUAGACCUCCUGUAAAUGUUAUUUCAUUUAAUUUCCUCAGUAAGCCUAUAGAACUGGUAGUAUUGUCUGAUUAUGUAGAUAAGGCAGGAGACCUUGGAAAGAUUCAGUAACUUCCUGAAGGUCAUGCAGGCAUCAGAUGGAGGAGUGGAGUCCAACCAUGUUUGUCGGUGUUCAAAAUCUAAUGAUACUCUGAAUUUUCCCACACGAGUCAUCUCAAGUAGCUUUAUCAUGCUCUGUUCCAGGUGAGAUUAUUCAUAUACCUUCUUUACUAAAACCUAGUGGUUUGCAUACACUUUGGUAUAUUUGUAAGCUGUCAUGCAACAAGACUCAGUGCAUGUGUUGCAGUAUAACCCACAUGUCCAACUCUUGCCAGCUACAAGUUAGAAUGGAGUAAGGCUUACGGCUGGGGCUUGGCUGGCACUGUUCUCUCUGGGAGAGCACCCAGUAUCAAUAUCCAGGUAGGAUAGGGAUCAGUAACAGCUGUCUUAAGUUGUAACUCUUUCUGUUUUUUUUUUUUUUCUGAAAUAGCUCAUCAUGGUGUUCUAUUUGUCACUUGUCAAGGAAAUCAAUAUAGUCUAGACUUGUGACUUUGCCAGGAUCUGCUUGUGCAAUCAGAGUCAAAGGAGGGUUUGCAGCAGAGCAGGGUGGCAAACAGACAGAGGGACCUGGGUCUCUGGGAGAUGGGGAUGUUCAGGAACUUGUCUCUACCAGAGAGGGCUCAGAAGUCAUGUGAGUCUAAGACAGGUCCCACUUGCACAAGAAGGGCCUGUCAGGAGGAAAAGGAAGACAUUUUCAAAGCAGGGGCACUGAUAUUUAUUUGCUGGUGUUUGUAUUAUUACAAUUUUUAUUAAAAUAUGUUAACUAUA